rnacentral:rRNA from 1 species
AUAGCGUAUAUUAAAGUUGUUGCAGUUAAAAAGCUCGUAGUUGAACUUCAGACCUGACCGGGCGGUCCGCCUAACGGUGUGUACUGUCUGGCCGGGCCUUACCUCUUGGUGAGCCGGCAUGCCCUUCACUGGGUGUGUCGGGGAACCAGGACCUUUACCUUGAGAAAAUUAGAGUGUUCAAAGCAGGCUUACGCCGGAAUACAUUAGCAUGGAAUAAUAAAAUAGGACGUGUGGUUCUAUUUUGUUGGUUUCUAGAGUCGCCGUAAUGAUUAAUAGGGAUAGUUGGGGGCAUUGGUAUUGAGUCGCUAGAGGUGAAAUUCUUGGAUUGACUCAAGACCAACUACUG